rnacentral:rRNA from 1 species
GACGAACGCUGGCGGCGUGCCUAAUACAUGCAAGUCGAACGGUCAAACGCGUAGCUUUCUCCUCUGAGUUGAGGGGCGGACGGGUGAGUAACACGUGGUUAACCUCCCUCUCAGUUUUGGAUAACUACCGCAUACCAGAGCUACUACCGCAUAAUAUUUUGAGCCUCAUGGUUCAUUAGUGAGGGACGGAUUUUCUUUCGGUUAUGGAUGGACUCGCGCCGUAUUAGCUAGUUGGUAGGGUAACGGCCUACCAAGGCAACGAUGGGUAGCCGGCCUGAGAGGGUGGUCGGCCACACUGGGACUGAGACACGGCACAGACUCCUAAGGGAGGCAGCAGUGGGGAAUAGUGCACAAUGGGCGCAAGCCUGAUGCAGCGACGCCGCGUGAGGGAUGGAGGCCUUCGGGUUGUGAACCUCUUUCGCAAGUGAAGCAGGCCUGCCUCGUUUGUGGGUGGGUUGACGGUAGCUGGAGAAGAAGCGCCGGCUAACUACGUG